CCGCUUCGUUCCGAUCCGUUCAUUUUCCUCCGCCACACUUUUUGUUCUCCAUUUCAACACGCUGCGCGUUGGAGAAGGGGGAUUUGCUGCGUUUAAGCCUCUCGUGUAAUUGCUGAACUUGUCCAGACCACGCGGUUUAUGAUCUCUGAACAUCGCCUUCAGAAAGUGGAUACCUGCAAGUUUCCUAAGGGGAUCAGCUGUUUUCUCGACUAAGCGCAGCCUGGUUGCUGUAUUAACGUUAAUUUAUUUACAAACUCAAUAUGGAGAAUGAUAACAAAUAUCUUCCUCAGCUGUUGGCAGAGAGAGACAGCCUGGAUGCAUCUUUCACACAUGCCAUGAAACUUUUGUCUGCAGAAAUUGAAAGAAUAGAGAAAGGCGAUACUGAAACCGAGGAGAAGCCAUCCGAAGCCUACUUGGACCUCUUCACGACCAAGAACAUCAAGCUGAAGGAGCGAGUCCUCAUACCCGUCAAACAGUACCCCAAGUUCAAUUUUGUGGGAAAGAUCCUUGGACCUCAGGGAAACACAAUAAAGCGUCUGCAGGAGGAGACGGGCGCCAAGAUUUCAGUCUUGGGGAAGGGAUCCAUGCGGGAUAAAACAAAGGAGGAGGGCCUGCGGAAGAGCGGCGAGCCCAAGUAUGCUCACCUGUCCAUGGAGCUGCACGUGUUCAUCGAGGUCUUCGCACCUGUGCCAGAGGCCUACCUGCGCAUGGCCCAUGCCAUGGAGGAGGUCAAGAAGUUCCUGUUCCCGGACAUGAUGGAUGAUAUUUGCCAGGAGCAGUUCAGGGAGAUGAACUACCUGAACGGUGCCCCAGAGCACCCCCCUCGGGGCCGUGGAGGCCCUCCAGUCAGAGGCCGAGGGGCGCCCCACCCGCCCUCCGCCACAUUAAGGGGUAGGGGCAUUCCACCGCGUGGAGGCGCUCCGCGUGGAGGACCCCCCAGAGGAGGUGCGGUGAGAGGGGCCCCAGCGGGCAGAGGGGGACCCCCGGCCCAACCCACCAGAGGAGCGGCUGCCACACGCGCACACCCGCCUGCGCCCGGACCCCCCCAGCGCAUGGCACCCCCGCCCCCACCUGCACAGGAAACGUAUGAUGAAUAUGCUUAUGACGAGAACUACACAGAACCAUCUUAUGAGUCAUAUGACAACUAUUACAAUCAGUCGCAGACAGAGCCAGAGUAUUAUGACUACGGACAUGGAGAGACGCAAGAAAGUUACGACUCAUACGCUCAGGACGACUGGAACGGAACUCAGCGCACGACAACCGGAGCCAAGGCCCCUCCUGCACGGCCAGCGAAAGGGACAUACCGGGAACACCGCUACGCGCCGUACUGAGCCCCUAAAGAGCAAGAACAGUCUCCCCUUCCUUAACGCGUCGCCAUGACAACUGUCUCCCAGGGCAGCUCACGCUUUAAAGCAACCCCAACAAAAGUAGUGUGAGUGGAUCACUGCAAAGGAUGAAGGCAUCUGAGGAGAACCAAAAAGGUUGAAGUCUUGGCUCAGGGAAGGCCUCCGCCAUGGUAAAGCCACAGGAGGAGCACGUGCAGAAUGAGCUGGAACACCAAGCCGAGUGGAUCCAGUCUAUUGUAAAAGGAAGAUGGGUAGACCUAGAGAGAGACGGUUUGAGCGAGGCACAGAGAGAGAGAGAGAGAAAAAGAGCGAUAGCGAGCCGCAGGGAAGCCCUUGUGUGGAUGGCUGGGAAUAAGUGUGUGUGUGUGGGGGUGCGUUGUUGUGACGGUGAUGCAUCCGCACUUCUCCUUCGGAGUGGAGAGGAAGAGAAAUCGAUGUGGUCUGCUGCAGGCCAAGCAGAAUAGGCUGGCAGAAAGCACUCGUCAGGCCAGAUCAAAAUAAAAGCCUCACUUCCCACGUGACGGGCCUGUCGAAUGGGGAAUGGGGGAGGGUGGGGUGGGCCUGGCAGCUGUCUGUGUUCUGAGGUUACUGCCUAAUGUGUUCGAGAAGAGCAGGAAUCAUUAUUCCACCCCAGAUCCCUCUUAGCUUCCUCUGUGUGUGUGUGUGUGUGUGUGUGUGUUUGUGUGUGUUUGUGUGUGUGUGUUUGUGCGCGCGCGCGAAUGCGUGUCCCUUGUGUCUCCACAGGAAAAGGGUCUCUGAAGCACACUUAAUGCUGUCUUGAAAAUGACCGCUCGCUAUCGCCACUACCGGCCUUAAAAUCGCUUCAUUUUAACAAGCACCCAAGACCCAUUCGCACUUCGCCUGCUGAUGCUCUGCUGCAUCCUGGGAUGCCACUGCGUUUUACUUAGUUUAGCCUCUGCACUAGUUUUAGUGUGUGUGUGUGUUUCCCCAACAGAGCAAGACCACUGUAUGCUCGAACCCCAUCAUCCGUGGUUGCAUGCACACAAACCUAAUAGAAUGAGUGCAGCGCUUCGAAGUGAAACGGCCCCAAAGAAAUGUCUUUGUAGCACUUCUGCUUCUUUGUCCAUGUGCCCUAAUUGCCAUGCUGAUGGUAGUCCUGCUCUUGUGAGCAGAAGAGGCGCUCAAGUCAAGUGAACAUGCCAUGGGAACCACCUUGGACAUAUCGCUGAGUUUGCAGAAAUUAAGUACUACCCCCCCCCACCCGUCUCUGCAAUUAAUAUGAGCCUCAGCUGCUCUUCAGCAGCCAACAGACAUGUUAUAAUUGUCUUUUCUUUUAUAUCAGAGGGGGUUAAGAUGCUAAUGUUGCUUCAGUGGGAAAAGAAACGUGUGUAGUCACUGUCUUCUCUCACUCCAGAGAUGGUGGAAACUGGAGCCUGCCUUGCACUUAUCAUUCCGUCACGCGUGCACACGCGUGCACACGCAUGUGCGCUCACUCACUUUCUCACCAUCGUAAAUUUAUUCAUUGGCAAAUUUCGCAGCUGCAGGACUCUGCAUCUGUGUCUGUGUUUCAAGCUUUUUCUAUAAAAGACUCGUCUCUCUCCCACACACACACACACACACACACACACACACACACACACACACACACACGGGUUGACUGCAAGCAUGCCAUUUCAACCAAUUACUGCUGAUGACAGUUCCUCUGUCCCCCUGAGCUAGUGCUGAUUGCUGACUGGCUAACAGGAGCCAGCGUUAUUACAUUAGACAGAAAUCACUUCUCACCGUCCACAGAUUUUAAUAAGCAUUAGCUACAGCUCAAGCUCCAUCGAACAAUUGGAAAAAAUUGUGGUGUGGUGGGGUGGGGUGGGGUGGGGGGAUACACUAUGUGCUGUGACAAGCUCUGCCAGCCUGUGACUGGGGGAGGGGAGCCACAUUAUAAUGAGAAAUCUCCAAAGUGUUUCAUGAAGGUUUUGGCAUUGGGGGGCAGAUGGGAGAUUUAUUUUUCUGUUUUUAAACCGAAAACCUGGCAACUUUUUGCAAAAAUGAGAAUUCUAUUCAAGCCUGACCGAUGGAGCUUAACAGAGCAGUUCUUUUUAUAGCACACACACACACACACACAGAUAUUCACAGAUAUUCACUCACUCCGAGUCGUAGCCUGAAGUGGGAAUGCACUGUGUGAUGGAAAAGUCUGACCCGUACCUUCAGGGCUUGAUCUUGUGGUACAUUGACUGCGGGAAGCGUGACAGACUGGUAUCACUGCUGGUCACUGCUGCCACCAACCACCGCUGCUCCCACUGCUGCUGGCUCUUGUAUGGGCAUGAUGCCUGGGUGGCCAACCGGCAGAGGCUGGAUAGGGUCAACCACAAACCUCACUCUGCCCUUCAGACGUCACAUCUCUUAUGUUCACGCAUGGGGACUGUUGAACAUGCCUUUUGUUUCUCUUUUCAUGACUUUCAUGCAUGAAUCCAUGCAGUAAAAUGUGCCUACUGACUGCAUGGCCUUUGUGCUUAUAUAAUAACUUGUCUUGCUAAGAGCAAACAGGGUUGCGCUGUCCAUUGGCCACUAACUCUGUCUGUGCAUGCUGCGUUUGACCUCUUGUCACUGCUCCCGCGUGUUCCUUCAGAGACCCACUUCCUCCUUGUCCUGUGUGACCAAACACUGCUGACCAAAAAGGACCCCUGCUCUUAUUCAGGAAUUUCAACCAGACUCCGACUCAUAUCCAUUUUGUUUACAGUUAAUAGUCAUGGUCCAGCGCAGUGUUUUUGGGCCGUUCAUGUAAGUCUGGUUGUUAGCUUGCUUAGAUCUCCCAAAGUUUGGAUUGCUGGAGAAUGACUUAUCAGUCUAGUUGCCCCAACCCCCCACCCCACCCCACACACAUGCACACUCUUUGACUUUUGUGUUUUGUCAUGUAAAUGAUCCAAAUGCUGCAUUCAUCUUUGCCUGAUUACAUGCUUGUGGAAAUGCACAUAUUUUGGCUAGAUUAUAUAUUUUUUUCCAGGGCAAAUGUUAGUGGAGCAAAUGUUCCAGCAAGUCAUAAAUAUACAUCAGGAGCUUUGAUCCAUAUUAUUUAAUGUUAAUGGAGGCGGCUUGUUUCUGUUUUUCAAGGUUUUAAAUGUAUGCAUCUUUUUCCAGCAAGGUACAGUUAACUAAAGUUUUGCUGUUUAAAUCCAGAGGUAUUAAUAUUCUUAAGAAAAUGUUGCUCUUAACUGUUCUUGGGAUUGCAGCCAAAAAUAAAGGUACUCAAGGUUUUUUACACCCUG